rnacentral:rRNA from 1 species
UACGUAGGGGGCAAGCGUUGUCCGGAAUUAUUGGGCGUAAAGCGCGCGCAGGCGGUCUUUUAAGUCUGGGGUUUAAUCGUAGGGCUCAACCCUAUAUCGCCCUGGAAACUGGGAGGCUGGAGUGCAGGAGAGGAAAGCGGAAUUCCACGUGUAGCGGUGAAAUGCGUAGAGAUGUGGAGGAACACCAGUGGCGAAGGCGGCUUUCUGGCCUGUAACUGACGCUGAGGCGCGAAAGCGUGGGGAGCAAACAGG